CGGACCCGCGUGCCUCCCAAAUGUUGGUCUGAACAUCACUGUUCGUCAGAAGGGCUGGAUAACACGAUUUGGUCGCACAGCAAAUGGAGGAUAUCACAGGACAUGAGAGACGGAGGCAGUAGUCGACGUGCGCCGUGUAAGAUAAACCAGUGAGACACACACUCACAGUCUUUUCUCUUAGAAGUGUGAAAGUGAAAUUUAAAUACUGAAACCAACACAAAUAAAAUUAUUUUUAAUUGAUAAUGACAUGAUACACACCCUCAUAUUAAAACAUGUCACAAAGUGCAGUUUGAUUGUAUAAUGAAUAAAAGAUGGUUGUAAUGUGACUGCCGCCACACUGGUCCACUGCCUGCAGGGCUAAUAUUAGGCAUUAGCUGCAAAUAGUGAUCCUUUAGAACAAUGUACUCAAAGAAGUCAGUGUUCACAUAAGUAGCAACAAACACUCUUUAUAAUGAGAUAUGUUCUGGUACAAUUCAUUUUUUCUUGCACCAACUGAGCAGCGACAUAAAAAGUGUUCCUGUUCUUGAAAGAAUUCAAAGCACUUUCAUGCUCUUAUGUAGCUUGCUUUGAGGAGCAGUCAAACAAGACGUGCGCUUUGUUCUGUACAUGGUAACAGCUUUAAACAAGCAGUUCCACUUUGUGACUUGCCACUUUAUUAGGUACACCUGUUCAACUGCUCCACUGUGCCACUCCUGUCAGCUAACUGGAAACUGAGGCUGGAUUUACAGUAACAAUAGCCUACAAGUGUUUACACUGUAGUGUGUGCUUAAUCUUAAUUAUGCCUGUAAAAAUGUUAAAUUCCAUGAAAAGUUUUGACAUUAAUUGGCCUUUGACCUGUAAACUACAUGGUUGGUUUCAUUCUUAAGCUAAAAAUAGUAUUGUCUCGAGCUGAAAGAAUUCAUGAUGUAGCCGACUGACAGAAAAUUAAUCAGUGACAGUUUUGAUAAUUGUGUAUUUUUACUGUUGGCCAGUCAAAAUAAGUUACUUUGGGCUUUGGUCAUUUGAAAUAGGAAUGUUUUAUUAUUUAACAUUGUCUUCAUAAUUUACAGCACUGAUGUAGACUUUGGUUUUUGCCUAAAUGCAUGUAAUAAGCUCCACUGAACAGUGUUUUCAUAUUAUCUCUUAACAGAUUUUAUGUUUUGUAUAUUUAUGUGGAACGCGUAGCCUUUGUUUUAAUCUGUAUAACUAUGAUGAUAACAUCUGAAGUUUUCAUUUCAUUAAUAGUGAUAUUUGAGCCAUUAAAUGGAGAUACCAUGUGUCAACACAAGAUGUCACUCACAAACCACAUCAAGCUUGUUCCCACUGACUCCCAGAUGAUGCUUUGUUCCUGAGCAACCUUUCACAAAAAGAAAUUUUAUUAAUUUAAAACGAUUUACAUCUUUCAUUUGGUCACAAGUAAAGUACAAUUUUGGCACGGAAAAAUACACUUUUAAAUAAGUGAACAUUCAAAGAUUCAAGUGUACCUUUAAACUUACAGUUUUGGCAGACAGUGACACAUUAGACCGAUACUCUUGUCAGAACCAACAAGCACAUGUUUCAGAUUGAUUGUGCAGCACAGUCUCAGCAGAGGAGCAUGUUUCAGGUACUGCAUCACUGACUUUUACAUAUGAAGCUGUCACUAGUGUAAAGAGACUAACUUUUUAUUGCUAACAGGUCAGUCAGCUUUGCUAGAAAGCUAACUGUAGUCCACAGGUACCCAGAAGGAUCAUGUGUUGUUUCCAUUGUGUCAGUUUCAAAAAUCCUUUGGCUUCUAAUUUAGUGUUUGUAUAAAAUGUGCAGUAUACAUAUGUACCAUUCAACAUCUAGUGUCUAAAAAGCAAAGAUUUGGAAUAAUAACAAUACAAUCACCAAUCACAUUCAAAGAGAUUUAAAUAUAAAGUUGGACGUAUACAGAAUUAGUAAAACUACAUUAAUACAACAAACUGCAUAACAGAUCGAGAAAUACUGAUCUUUAGAUUUAUUACACUUUUGAUUGACUGCAAGUGCAAUUCAGCAGAGUACGUCUCAAACUGCUGAUACUGUAUAUCAAUUUGUAUUAGCAGUGAGCUGAGACUUAAGGCACUACAGGCACUGUAAACAUGUGUGUAACCUAAUAUUCUUGCUCUUAACAGUGCUUGUUUGAGCAGCUUUUCCCCUUAACUUCAACACACAGGCAUUCAUUUCACUCCAUAAAAAGACUGAAGUUGAACUUCAAAAUAUAAGAAUGCACUAGAAACAUUCCUUCACUGAUAACAGUUAAAUCUGUUGGUAGCAGAUUAUCAACUGUAAAGGCAAAUUUUAAGAUGUUGUAUGCCCUUAGAAAUUAAUAAUACAGUUUGCCUGGAAAUGAAAUCAGCAACUUAUAAAUUGUUCAAGAAUGCACCAAUGGUUGUUGAGCAUGUGCUGUUUAUGUCCUCCCCACCCGCUGUCCUGUGACCGUCUGUAAGGAAGAAACUCCA